ACGGUCGUUCUUUGAGUACUGGAGAGGUUGACGGAAUUCCUUAGUGUAGCGGUGAAUGCGUAGAUAUUAGGAGGAACACCAGUGGCGAAGGCGGUCAACUGGACAGAAACUGACGCUGAGGCGCGAAAGCGUGGGAGCAAACAGGAUUAGAUACCCUGGUAGUCCCACGCUGUAAACGAUGAAUACUAGGUGUGGGAGGACUGACCCCUUCCGUGCCGCAGUUAACACAAUAAGUAUUCCACCUGGGGAGUACGGCCGCAAGGUUGAAACUCAAAGGAAUUGACGGGGGCCCGCACAAGCAGUGGAUUAUGUGGUUUAAUUCGAAGCAACGCGAAGAACCUUACCAGGGUUUGACAUCCCGGUGACCGUCUUAGAGAUAAGAUUUCCCUUCGGGGCACCGGUGACAGGUGGUGCAUGGUUGUCGUCAGCUCGUGUCGUGAGAUGUUGGGUUAAGUCCCGCAACGAGCGCAACCCUUAUUGAUAGUUGCUACGCAAGAGCACUCUAUCGAGACUGCCGUUGACAAAACGGAGGAAGGUGGGGACGACGUCAAAUCAUCAUGCCCCUUAUAUCCUGGGCUACACACGUAAUACAAUGGCACUUAACAAAGGGAAGCAAAACCGCGAGGUGGAGCAAAUCCUCAAAAAGUGUCCCAGUUCGGACUGCAGUCUGCAACUCGAGGUGCACGAAGUCG
rnacentral:rRNA from 1 species